rnacentral:rRNA from 1 species
CUUAGUAACGAAGCUAACGCGUGAAGUUGACCGCCUGGGGAGUACGGUCGCAAGAUUAAAACUCAAAGGAAUUGACGGGGACCCGCACAAGCGGUGGAUGAUGUGGAUUAAUUCGAUGCAACGCGAAAAACCUUACCUACCCUUGACAUGUCCGGAAUCCUGCAGAGAUGCGGGAGUGCCCGAAAGGGAAUCGGAACACAGGUGCUGCAUGGCUGUCGUCAGCUCGUGUCGUGAGAUGUUGGGUUAAGUCCCGCAACGAGCGCAACCCUUAUCAUUAGUUGCUACGCAAGGGCACUCUAAUGAGACUGCCGGUGACAAACCGGAGGAAGGUGGGGAUGACGUCAAGUCCUCAUGGCCCUUAUGGGUAGGGCUUCACACGUCAUACAAUGGUCGGUACAGAGGGUUGCCAAGCCGCGAGGUGGAGCCAAUCCCAGAAAGCCGAUCGUAGUCCGGAUUGUUCUCUGCAACUCGAGAGCAUGAAGUCGGAAUCGCUAGUAAUCGCGGAUCAGCAUGUCGCGGUGAAUACGUUCCCGGGUCUUGUACACACCGCCCGUCACACCAUGGGAGUGGAAUCUGCCAGAAGUAGGUAGCCUAACCGCAAGGGGGGCGCUUACCACGGUGGGUUUCAUGA